CUUCGCACCCUUUCUUCUAACUCUCUCAUUGCCCUUUUCCCCAAGCUUAAAACCUUUUGUUCUUCACUUCAUUAUCCCUAAUCUCUUGUUUCCUAUAAUUUGAUUAUAAAAUGGGAGACCCAAAGAGGAAUCAAAUAAGAGAUUAUUUGUGUCCAACGAAUCGAUCUUCUACUAAUAAUCAAACCUCAAACAAUAACACAUCACAAAGUUCAAUCCCCUUGCCUACCAUAAAAGGGUCUUUGUGGCCAAAACCAUUAUCAAACCCAUCAGAAAGCACUUCUUCAUCAAAUGGUACUUCAUCAAGCCCUAGGCCAUCUUCAAUCAAUAUGGCGAAUAUUUUUGGUCGUCGCAAACAAGGUUGAUGAAUCCAUGACGACCCACCAACUCGGAUCAUAGCACAUCUCAUCACCAAUAUGGGUCUUAUAGUAUGUUGCUUCUUUUUUUUUGUCAUAUAUAUAUAUAUAUAGUUGGAAUAUUUGCAAUAAUAUGUUAUUUUGUUAUGAUGUGAUCGAAAUAGUGGAUCUCAUAGGAUGAAGCAGUUGCUUGUUGAUACUUAAUUAUAUCACUUUGUAUAACAUAAAGUUGAUGAAGAUCAUUACCCAAGUGUGUGACGCUUUUGUAUU